rnacentral:lncRNA from 1 species
CUGUUUUCAUAGACUGCAUUUCCUCAAAUCAAGUUGAAAAUAAUCUCAAUUCUUUGUCCUGUUUCAGGCCGGAAAGGCAAAUGAGAAAGAUGAGAAAGCUGGCACGUUACAGCUGCGAGGCUAUUCGCACCAAAGUGAAGAGAUCUGCACCCUGGCACCAGAAAAUAGAAGAUAAGUUCAAAUUCAGUUUCAAAUACAAGUUAUAUAAAUUAAAAAAAUCAACCCAGAUCAGCACCUUUACUAGCAAACAAGCACAACAAUUAUAUUUUGGAAAUCUUUUACAAAAAUCUUUUGCAAAUGGCAAAAAGUUUGAAUUCAAAAUUAAAGAAGCUGAAAACUCUACCCAUAAAAAUGGCCAUAAUAAUCUUCUUGUAUCCAAAAUCAAAAACAGUCACUUCCUCAAAAGAAAGUGGUUAUUUCCAGAUGAUGUUGCUGUUAUUAAGAAACCAAAAAGAAUUCCUGCCUAUCCAGACUCUAUCACUCCUUUGCAUUCAAAGAUUCUCAACAUAUCCGGUAAUCAAAUUAUGUUUUUCUCUGAAGUUCAAAUUUUGAAAACACGCAUUUUUUCCAAGAUGUUGACAGCAGCCGAAGCAAAACAUCGAAAUAAAUUUUUACCAAAUUUACACCACAACAAACGUAAUACGUGUAGUAAGGAAGAGCAGCAAAAAAUGAAGCUGUUUAAGGAUGAAAGUGAAUCGAUUUGUCGACAGAAUAAAAAUGAAGAGAAAUUUUAUCAUUCAAUCAAAGAAAUGCAGAAAAAAAUUCCAGAAAAAAUUCCAAGUGUUGAUGCAAACAGAUUCUUUCCAUUCCUCAAAGAGUACCUUCAGAUUCGUGAACAUAAGCAGUAUGCAAUUGUUAUUGCUGUCAUGAAACAUAGUAAAAAUAUCAUUGUUUCUCCAGCAUUUGAGCUAGAUUAUAAAAACAAGGAAAAUCCUGGAAAAAUAAAGCACAGUGAGCCUCGUUUAUGUGAAGCUUUUGAACCUUUUUUGCAACAGAAUGGAAAUUUAGUGGAGACUAUUCUGAUUUACACAUUCAAUAGUCCAUGUUUAGGUUGUACGUCUCUACUUCUCGAAAAAGCUUAUCUCUGGCGCCGUCAAUAUGGAUUUUCCACAACUGUAGCAUUCACACAAUUUUACGGAUUAAAUGGACAAAAUUGUUUCCAAACUCUCACCUACUCAUCUACCAACAUGUUAGGUCCAUGCGGUGUGUUUUAUGAAGACAGUCAAAGAUGUAAGUGUGAUCGCUUCAAACUGAAGUCUUUCAAACUCACACGUAAAAUCUUCCAAAAUAUCAGAAAACUUAGUGAAAAAGAAGAAAAACACAGCUGCCGUAAGAAAAUUGAAUCUUAUGUGUCUGUGCUGAAAACACUGGCAAAAAGUUCCUUUUGUUCACGUGAAACACAUUUACAACGUGGUGAAAACACAAUUUAUUCUUUUGUAUUUCCCCCAAUGAUCCAAGAUGCAUGUAGAGACAGUCUUUUAAAGGACUGGUUAGUACUGGUGAACGACAGUGCCAUGUCAAACAUGAGAGAAAAAAUAACCCUGAAUUUUAAUGUUGGGUUAGUUGAAGUUAUUAACCAAAAUCUUAAGUCCUCUUGUGGGAACAACAGCCCUCUAAAGCUUUGCCACAUCCCUCUGAAUCUGUAA